GGGGCUGUGGCUCAGUGGUGGAGCGCUUGCCUAGCAUGUGUGAGGCCCUGGGUUCGAUCCCCAGCACCA
rnacentral:tRNA from 1 species